UGUAUAACUUAAUUUAUAAGGUAACCAAAUAUACUAUGCCCUGAGAAGUCCUACUGUCAAGAUAACACUAGCGUUCAAUUUUUGGCUAUCUGCUCUGGUAAUUCCGGCGACGUUUGUUCAAAUCCAACUCCAUGGCGUACAAAUCUAUGGCUACACACAGCUUUCGUAACUUCUCCACUGUCUCUUCCUUUUGCAAUGCUUCAACAAUUUCCCGGACGACGUAUCCAAUGACGUCUACAUUUCGGCCAACACUACUCCACUCGAUAUCCGUCGCCUCUCGUUCCGUAUCGGUCGCCGCCGGCAGUUUCACUUGGGACGACGUUGUCCAUGUUUCUUUACCAGAAAGCUUUCAGGACGAUCCUUCAGAUCUGACGGGCUAUUUCGAGAAGGUCAAGCUCUGCAAUCGCGGAUCAGAUACGCAAUCUGAAAUUCUUCCCUUUGUCAUCGAUGACCAAAUUGUUGGCUACGUCCACCACGGUUUCGCUAAACACCUGAAACAAUAUCCGAAUGUGUUUACCUUCCCCCGAGACGAUUCUGUUAAAUUUGGCGCUUACUUGACCUUGCAUGAAUCGUUGAAGACACCCAAGGAUAGGACGCUUGCAGUUGGAGAUGUAGUUAAAUGCUUAGGUGAAAAAGUCAUUCCAGGUACACGGAACGAGCUAUACCCUGUUACUUCGUCCUUUGGUGCCCCGAACUUUUUCUCACUCGAACGUGCCGCAGCCCCUUAUUUUGGAAUAAAGGUUUAUGGAGUUCAUAUGAAUGGUUAUGUUGAGAAGGAAGGGAAAAAGUUUUUGUGGGUUGCAAAAAGAAGUCAAACGAAGCCAACUUUUCCUGGAAUGUUGGAUCAUUUAGUAGCUGGAGGGCUGAUGGUAUCAGAGCAUGGUGAUGAAAACGUCGCUGGAAUAGAAGAGAUUCAGUCAUCGACUCUAGUAAGGGAUGGAACUCCAAGAGAAAACUCUAACAGUGCUGAAAUUAGGGCUACCGUCGAUCAAUACCUACGAUCAUUACUUGGACCGAUUCAGAUUCAACCAGCCCUAAUUGAUCCAGCCGUUAUUGUCGUCGUUGCCGUCGGAGGACCCCCACCACUGCCAACGACGACUUCAACCACACUGCCGCCACUGCCGUCGAGACUCGACCAUCCGCCAUUAGCCCAGCCCAGAUACGAGUGUCCACCGUCGACUUCCUAUGUUUUCCAGCCGCGGGGUUUUACAGCUGCUGAUUCCGCUCCAGAUCCCACUGGCGGAAGUGUUUCAGCAGUGUGUUAUAUGGAGUUGAGACUGGGUGUGAAAUAUGAUGAUUUUCAUCGGAGCAGUUAGAAAGUUUAUGCCUAUGGAUUUGAAACGUAGUUGUAUAUGCAAACCUGGAUACUAAUCAGAGGAAAAAGAGACAAGGGAGAUGUAAAGUUUGAAAUGUGCUUUUGAAUGCUGAAUACCAUUCUUAUUAUCUUCAUAGCUAGACCCUGACAUUUUGAUUGUGACAGCCUCAGGGCAUCCCUUGUGGGGAGAACCUGAUGAAAGAAUGUGAGGAGGAAGCAGGCAUCCCGAGAUCAAUAUCAAAAGAUUGGUGCCAUUUCAUACACGGACAUCAAAGGUUAUGGUUACAAGAGAGAUGUUCAAUUCUGUUACGAUU